rnacentral:rRNA from 2 species
AAAUUGAAGAGUUUGAUCAUGGCUCAGAUUGAACGCUGGCGGCAGGCCUAACACAUGCAAGUCGGACGGUAGCACAGAGAGCUUGCUCUUGGGUGACGAGUGGCGGACGGGUGAGUAAUGUCUGGGGAUCUGCCCGAUAGAGGGGGAUAACCACUGGAAACGGUGGCUAAUACCGCAUAACGUCGCAAGACCAAAGAGGGGGACCUUCGGGCCUCUC